GCGCUCACUUCAGCAGCACCCAUAGAACUAAAAUCGGAACAAUACCGAGAAGAUUAGCGUGGCCUCUGCCCGAGGAUGAGAAGAGAAUUCGAGAAGUGUUCCACAAUAUU